UACGGGAGGCAGCAGUGGGGAAUAUUGCACAAUGGGCGAAAGCCUGAUGCAGCUAUGCCGCGUGUAUGAAGAAGGCCUUAGGGUUGUAAAGUACUUUCAUCGGGGAGGAAAAAACAAAACUAAUAAUUUUAUUUCUUGACGUUACCCGAAAAAGAAGCACCGGCUAACUCCGUGCCAGCAGCCGCGGUAAUACGGAGGGUGCUAGCGUUAAUCAGAAUUACUGGGCGUAAAGAGCACGUAGGUGGUUUUUUUAAGUCAGAUGUGAAUCCCCUGGGCUUAACCCUAGGAACUGCAUUUUGAAACUGAAAUACUAGAGUAUCGUAGAGGGAGGUAGAAUUCUAGGUGUAGCGGUGAAAUGCGUAGAUAUCUGGAGGAAUACCUGUGGCGAAAGCGGCCUCCUAAACGAAUACUGACACUGAGGUGCGAAAGCGUGGGGAGCAAACAGGGAUUAGAUACC
rnacentral:rRNA from 1 species